rnacentral:rRNA from 1 species
AGGAUUAACGCUGGCGGCGUGCCUGACACAUGCAAGUCGAACGAGGCCGCAAGGCCGAGUGGCGGACGGGUGAGUAACACGUGACCAACCAACCUCGAAGUUGGGAAUAGCUCUGCGAAAGUAGGGGUAAUACCGAAUGUGGCCCAGGGCGGGCAUCCGCCUUGGUCUAAAGAUUCAUCGCUUCGAGACGGGGUCGCGGCCUAUUAGCUUGUUGGUGAGGUAACGGCUCACCAAGGCGAUGAUGGGUAGCUGGUCUGAGAGGACGACCAGCCACACUGGGACUGAGACACGGCCCAGACUCCUACGGGAGGCAGCAGUGAGGAAUCUUCCGCAAUGGGCGAAAGCCUGACGGAGCAACGCCGCGUGUGGGAUGAAGACUCUAGGGUUGUAAACCACUGUCGGAGGGGACGAUCGUGACGGUACCCUCCAAGAAACGCCCCGGACUAACUACGCGCCAGCAGCCGC